CGGGAUGUAGCGCAGCUCGGUAGCGCGCUCGGCUGGGGGCCGAGAGGGCGCAGGUUCAAAUCCUGUCUUCCCGA
rfam:Bacteroidetes bacterium MedPE-SWsnd-G1 Bacteroidetes-MedPE-SWsnd-G1-C2, whole genome shotgun sequence.